UGCAGCCUGCCACUCUAUUCUGAACCUGCUCCCACCUCAGACCAAGGCCAACCACCUCUCCAUUCUUCUGCUCUCACCCGGCUCGUGGAACCCAAAUGACCUCAUGCAUUCAGCCUUUAUCAAACACAAACCAGCCCUAUCCUGCUCCCACUGGAGCUACUGAAACAGACCUGGCCUGAGGCAGGAAUAGACAGCUUCAGGGACAAAGCCUUUAGAAGUCCUGAGUUCAUUUCCCAACAACAACAUGGUGGC